rnacentral:rRNA from 1 species
AUUGAACGCUGGCGGCAUGCCUUACACAUGCAAGUCGAACGGGCUUUGGGGCUUGCUCUAAAGUUAGUGGCGAACGGGUGAGCAAUAUAUCGGAACGUACCCUAGAGUGGGGGAUAACUAGUCGAAAGACUGGCUAAUACCGCAUACGAUCUAAGGAUGAGAGUGGUGGACCGCAAGGCACAAUGCUCAUUUCGCGGCUGAUACCUGAUUAGCUAGUUGGUAGGGUAAAAGCCUACCAAGGCGACGAUCAGUAGCUGGUCUGAGAGGACGAUCAGCCACACUGGGACUGAGACACGGCCCAGACUCCUACGGGAGGCAGCAGUGGGGAAUUUUGGACAAUGGGGGAAACCCUGAUCCAGCAAUGCCGCGUGAGUGAAGAAGGCCUUCGGGUUGUAAAGCUCUUUUGUCAGGGAAGAAACGGUGGGGGCUAAUAUCCUCUGCUAAUGACGGUACCUGAAGAAUAAGCACCGGCUAACUACGUGCCAGCAGCCGCGGUAA